rnacentral:ncRNA from 1 species
UUCUUCGGGGCGGGGUGCAAUUCCCCACCGGCGGUAAUGCGGCCUUGGCCGUCAGCCCGCGAGCGGUUCGUUAGCCGCAUGAGUCCGGUGUGAUUCCGGCGCCGACGGUAUAGUCCGGAUGGUAGAAGAUG